GCGGGAGUGCUGAAAUUGGUAUACAGGCACGCUUGAGGUGCGUGUGUCGAAAGACGUGCAGGUUCAAGUCCUGUCUCCCGCACAA
rnacentral:tRNA from 3 species